rnacentral:rRNA from 1 species
ACGGAAGGCAGCAGUGGGGAAUAUUGGACAAUGGGGGAAACCCUGAUCCAGCGACGCCGCGUGAGUGAAGAAGUAUUUCGGUAUGUAAAGCUCUAUCAGCAGGGAAGAAAAUGACGGUACUUGACUAAGAAGCUCCGGCUAAAUACGUGCCAGCAGCCGCGGUAAUACGUAUGGAGCAAGCGUUAUCCGGAUUUACUGGGUGUAAAGGGAGCGUAGACGGCAAAGCAAGUCUGAAGUGAAAUCCCGGGGCUCAACCCCGGAACUGCUUUGGAAACUGUUUAGCUAGAGUGCAGGAGAGGUAAGCGGAAUUCCUAGUGUAGCGGUGAAAUGCGUAGAUAUUAGGAGGAACACCAGUGGCGAAGGCGGCUUACUGGACGAUAACUGACGCUGAGGCUCGAAAGCGUGGGGAGCAAACAGGAUUAGAUACCCUGGUA